AAGGAGGAAACAGGCAGGCCAG
rnacentral:miRNA from 1 species